AGUGAACGCUGGCGGUAGGCCUAACACAUGCAAGUCGAACGGCAGCACAGUAAGAGCUUGCUCUUACGGGUGGCGAGUGGCGGACGGGUGAGGAAUACAUCGGAAUCUACUUUUUCGUGGGGGAUAACGUAGGGAAACUUACGCUAAUACCGCAUACGACCUACGGGUGAAAGCAGGGGAUCUUCGGACCUUUCGCGAUUGAAUGAGCCGAUGUCGGAUUAGCUAGUUGGCGGGGUAAAGGCCCACCAAGGCGACGAUCCGUAGCUGGUCUGAGAGGAUGAUCAGCCACACUGGAACUGAGACACGGUCCAGACUCCUACGGGAGGCAGCAGUGGGGAAUAUUGGACAAUGGGCGCAAGCCUGAUCCAGCCAUACCGCGUGGGUGAAGAAGGCCUUCGGGUUGUAAAGCCCUUUUGUUGGGAAAGAAAAGCAGCAUGUUAAUACCCCGCUGUUCUGACGGUACCCAAAGAAUAAGCACCGGCUAACUUCGUG
rnacentral:rRNA from 1 species